CUCGUCACGCUAACAUUCUAUGAGUUGCGUAAAUAAAUUCCAAAAUUGGAAAAAUAGGGAGUACUCAAUUCAAUCGUCAAUUUAAGUAAUACUUGAGUCAAAAUUGAAACACAAGGUCUGAUAAGUGUCGUCAAUUGAAACAAAAUAUAGAAAACAAGAGAACACAAAAUAUAGAAUUUAACCCUUGUCCAAAAGUUGCCUUCAAUGACUACCAUAGAACUGGCUAACAUCUAAAUAGAACCCAAGUAAAUUCAGGCACCGACUUAGAUGAUCCCAAUCUUGUUUGCUACAUCCAAUGCAUCGUAAUCAGGUGUCAACCUAACAUAGGCCUUCUUGGUACCAUCGGGCCUGAAACAGAUUCAGUAAUCGAGUUUAGAAAUUGUCUGAAAUCACCAUGCUGAACUAUAAUAAUUAAAUUGCACAGAUAGCACAACUAUGCAAUAUCCCUGAUCAUUAUUUCUAGAUUCCAACCCUGAUAGCAUUGCAUUGAACUGUUGAUAUUAAUGCCUAAACACAUAUUCAACUAGAAAACAGAAAACCAUUGUUGGUAUUUAAUGCCUAAACACAUAUUCAACUAGAAAACAGAAAACCAAUGUUGGUAUUAAUGCCUAAACACAUUCAACUAGAAAACAAAAAACUGCCAAAACCCAAAAAUGGUUCGGUAAGUCUGCAAAAUAUACGACAGGACAACAGAUUAUCUCAAACAUCAGGUGCCACCCUAACAAAACAUGUGAAGGGUAGAGCAAUAUAAAUUGACUAUUAGACUACAACUGUUAUUAGCAUUUAUCAGAUUAUUAAUUUGCCUUGAAAAGUUACUGCAUAAAGGCUCACCUGAUCAAGGUGUUAACCUUCUUUGCCUGGAUGUCAUACAUUUUCUUCACUGCAUCCUUAAUCUUUUUCUUAUCAGCACGCAAGUCAACAAUGAAAACCAAAGUGUUGUUAUCCUCAAUUUUCUUCAUUGCGGACUCAGUGGUGAGUGGGAACUUCAAAAUCUGAUAGUGGUCAAGCUUGUUUCUUGGUGUGGCACUGAUGCGAGGAUAUUUGGGGUUCCUAUCCUUUGUUUGUGUCUUUGGGCGAUGGAAAGUUACAGUUGUUCUAAUCUUCUUUGCCUUCUUAAUAGCAGUGCCUGACUUGACUGCCUUGGCAGCUUUCAAGGCCUGUGCCUUUGGAUCGGUCUUCUUAGAAACAUCACCUGCACAAAAACAGUGCAUAAGUCACAUGAAAAAAAAAAAAAGUUCUAACUAUUUUUUUGUGCAAAAUAAUAUUUCUAAUUCCAUGCAUUAUUUGAUUAAAAUAUACUGAACCAAAGGCCUAUGUACAAUCAGUAUUAAUCAUAUGAGAGAUUAAGCAAUAAUUCUGUAAGUUAAAUAAAAAGCUUAUUUAAAAACAGCUUAUGAUAUAACAUUAAGGGCCUGUUUGGAUUGGCUUAUUUGAGAUUAUCUACUAGCAUACAUUUUGAGACUGUUUGGGAGAAGUUAUGAAAACAGCUUAUAGAAUAAAUGACAAUUUUCACAAACUGUUUUUUAAGCUUUUUUUCACAAGUUUUUUGAUAUAGCUUAUAAAAACAGUUUAUAGCAUAUAGAAAAACUAUUUAACUAUAAUUUAUCUUUUGCUAUACAAACAGCUAAUGUAAGCUUAUGAAUAAGUGUGUGUACUAUAAGCUGCAAAUAAGUUGCUUAUCCAAACAGGAUGUAAGGGUAUUUCUGGAUUUACAAAUUUGAGCUUAUGGAGACAGCUUUUGACAUGUCCAUGAACUAAUUUCACCUUAAUUUCAUAAGUUGAUAGCUUAUGAAAAACAACUUAUAGCUUAAAUGAAAACAAUUUUGUUGUAUCUUUUGUUAUAAAAAUAGCUUAUAAGCGAUUCUAGUUUCUAGCAUAAGCACUCAACUAAGCUAUUUAUCUGAACAAAACCUAAAUUUUUUCUGCUUAUCAUAACUCAAAACACAGUCCAAAACAGUCGCUUACAAAUUCCCUAGAAUCAAAUCAUACAUGAAAAUGGAAUGACAUACACAAUAAUACAUAUUGAUUAAGUUCAAUCUAAAUUAUACAAAAACAAUCAUUUUCACCUAGAAAAAAUUAAAGGUUGAAACACACACACAUAAACUUAAAUCAGUGUAAAAUAAUGAGAUCAGAAAAUUGAAGUUACCUUUUGGGGCCAUUUGUUGCAGAUGGAAAAGAAACUCUACCUGAUAUAAACCCU
rnacentral:lncRNA from 1 species